GAUGAACGCUGGCGGCGUGCCUAAUACAUGCAAGUCGAGCGAACAGACGAGGAGCUUGCUCCUCUGACGUUAGCGGCGGACGGGUGAGUAACACGUGGAUAACCUACCUAUAAGACUGGGAUAACUUCGGGAAACCGGAGCUAAUACCGGAUAAUAUAUUGAACCGCAUGGUUCAAUAGUGAAAGACGGUUUUGCUGUCACUUAUAGAUGGAUCCGCGCUGCAUUAGCUAGUUGGUAAGGUAACGGCUUACCAAGGCAACGAUGCGUAGCCGACCUGAGAGGGGGAUCGGCCACACUGGAACUGAGAAACGGUCCAGACUCCUAAGGGAGGCAGCAGUAGGGAAUCUGCCGCAAUGGGCGAAAGCCUGACGGAGCAACGCCGCGUGAGUGAUGAAGGUCUUCGGAUCGUAAAACUCUGUUAUUAGGGAAGAACAAAUGUGUAAGUAACUAUGCACGUCUUGACGGUACCUAAUCAGAAAGCCACGGCUAACUACGUG
rnacentral:rRNA from 1 species